GUGUCAGCCGCCGCGGUAAUACGAACCGUCCAAACGUUAUUCGGAUUUAUUGGGCUUAAAGGGUAUGUAGGCGGCCCUUCAAGUCGGGUGUGAAAGCCCUCGGCUCAACCGAGGAACUGCGCCCGAUACUGUGGGGCUCGAGGGAGACAGAGGUAAGCGGAACUGAUGGUGGAGCGGUGAAAUGCGUUGAUAUCAUCAGGAACACCAGUGGCGAAAGCGGCUUACUGGGUCUCUUCUGACGCUGAGAUACGAAAGCUAGGGGAGCGAACGGGAUUAGAUACCCCCGUAGUCC
rnacentral:rRNA from 1 species